rnacentral:rRNA from 1 species
AACUUACCAGGUCAAGACAUGGGCGUGAUUGACAGGCUAAUGACUUUUCUCGAUUCCAUGGAUGGUGGUGCAUGGUCGCACUUAGUUGGUGCAGUGAUUUGUCAGGUUUAUUCCGGUAACGAACGAGACCUCGGCCUUGUAAAUAGCUAUGCUGCUUACAGGGACAUUGGCGGCUACGCCAAGGAAGCUCGAGGCAAUUGCAGAUCUGGAAUGCCCUUAGAUGUCCUGGGUCGCACGCGUGCUACAAUGACGCCACGAACGAGCUUGCGUGAUGAAAGUUACGCAUAAUCAGCAGUCGGCGUCUUAAGGGAUAGUCUCUUGUAACUGUGGGACUCCAACUAGGAAUGUCUCGUAAGCACAAGUCAACAUCUUGUGUUGAUUACGUCCCUGCUCUUUGUACACACCGCCCGUCGCUCCUACCGAUCGAGUGUUUAGGUGAAUUUGAUGGACGUAAGGAAGUCAAAUAAACCUGAGCACUAGAGGAAGGAGAAGUCGACUUC